rnacentral:sRNA from 1 species
CUUGGCGCUGGUAUAGCGGUUCGGGUCGUCCCCGAACUCGCCGAGUACCCGGGCGCCGAGUAUUUCACCGAGUCCAGGC